ensembl:lncRNA
GUUUGGAAACAGACUCAGAAGAAGAGAGGUCAUUCCAGUGGAUGGUGGAAGAUGUAAUCACUGACAAAACGGUUUUGUGUUACACAGAAUAGGGGAAGUGUUUGCUAGAAAUAUAGGUGUGCAAGUCAGCAACAAUUGAGAAAAGAUAAAAUGUGAUUUCUGAAAUCUGUGAACGAAUAAAAUGAUGAGGAGGAUUGGUGAUGCAAGAUGAGAGGACACAAAAAUGAAGUAGAAGGGAGUUGAAAGUCAAGUAAUUGUACCGCCACAGCAGUGCAGACAAAAAAGCAUGGGGAAAAAAGAAUAUUCAAUGCAAAAACAAAAGUAAAACGUGGAAUAUUGAGUAACUAAAAAUACCUGGAAAGAAUGGUAGUUAUCAGUGAUUCAUGGUAAAUAACUAUCAAUGAUCAGAUGACAAUCAGAAAAUGGCAGGAACAGAGAAUAAUGGUUAAAAACAAAGUAGGAGCUAAUUGCUGGUAUCUAAUAAUGUUAAUCAAUUGCUUAGAAAAGACAGGCAGUUGAAAAGAAAUAGGAGUUUCCUAAUUACACUGCAUAUAAAGAAAUGGUCUUUGGUAGCAAAGCAGGUGGAAAAUGGGAGUAAUAAUGAUAAGCUGAUAAAGCUUGAUUGUAUUAAACUGGAUCAGGUGAAGUGACAUAGCAGAGAGAGGAGUGACUGUGCAAAUUGAGUAAAUAGGAAGAGUAGGGUAGAUAUCUGAAUAAAUAUAGACAAAGAAUUCACUAAAGCUGUGGCUUCUAAAAAACGUUUUUCUGUAUUGCCAAAAAUGCUUCAAGUAGAGGUACUGAUCUACAAUAAAUAUAAGUCCCUACAUAUUUGAUAAUCAUUCAUUGUAAGUACCAGAAGACUAGAGAUCAGAAUAAAAAUUGUUCCUCUCUGAGGGAGGACUGGAAAGCAAAAUGCAGUCCUAAGAUCCUUAGUCUUUUUUUGUAUAUGAAAAUAUGUUCAAUAAUUGGAAUGAGCAUUACAAAAACAGUAGUGCUGACACAGGGAAAAUAAAAGCCGUUUCAGGUGCUGAAGAAAUAAAUGUGCAAGGAAUUAAAGAAGAUGAGACAAAAAUGCAAGGAAGAUGAAGAUCCAGGCAACAGCAAAAGCAAACCUGUCAGCUCUGAGAGUUCUUUGAUUUCCACUGUGGGUUGGCUUUAAACAUGAAGACAGAGAAAAGGUAUUGUCAUGUGGAAAUUUCUGGAGCCAAUAAUGUGGAUCCUGGACUACCAUUCUCGUUAAGCACAUGCAGUGGUUCCUUUUCAGGAUGCAGAAUGCUAUACAAGUGUCUACACAGAUCAGAAAAGUUGAGUCUUACAAGACCAAAGGAACUGCAAUUUGCCACUGGGCGUACAAUGCUUUAGCCACUAAAACCCAUAAAAGUCCAGUUGAAUCGAGGCAUCUACAGCUCAGUAUGUUGUUUCCUAAUGAUAGACUUCAAGUAUCAGUAUUUAGUUGGAUUGGUUAUAUCCUAAGCAGUGAGAAUGGAAGAACGUGUUUAUCAGAAGGACAUCUCCAAAUUAUCAGAAGGACAUCUCCAAACCAUGUGAAAGAAAUAUCAGUCUGAAAAUAUACAUUCACCAACUCUAGCAACUUUUUCCCCUCUGAUUAUCAAUUAAUGCCCUAGUCAGCAAUGAACCUUAUUUUGUAUCAGACAUUGCACAUGGAAGCAAGAAAGCAAGAAAAACUGCAGCACCUUACUCCAGGGUAAGUAUCUAAAGUCACUUCCAGAAGAACUGAAGAGCUGAAAUGAGAAAGACUGAAUGAGCAUUAGACAUCUGCAAUUCAGAUUAGCCUGAAGUUUUAAUUGCUAUGUUAUCAGAAAUAAGUGCAUUUCAUUGAGCAGUAGCUGUUCAGGAAGACUUGGAGUCAUCAAUGGUAUAUCAUAACGAUGAUGACUUCAUCUCUCCAAAGGGUAUUAGCAAGGAUUCAUUUCAACCUGUCAUUCUAAAAAUGGUGAUACAAGAGUCAACAGUACUUUUCCAGUUUUGCUAUUACUUCACAAGCUAGUUGCAAAUCAAAUGAAUCUUUUCAACAUCUUUAGAAAGAACACGUGGCCCUUCAUCCUCUAAUUGUCCUGAAAUGUCUCCCCCUAAUGUGUCCACAUGUGCCUACAUAUGUGUGAGGGAAAGGAGGAGAAUAUCAAAAUGUAGGCUAAUUUUCUUUUAAUUUUCAAAAUCUCCAAAGUUUUGAUGUGUCUGGAUUGCAUUCUUGUUUUGAUUUAUGACUGUGUAGGUGGAAGGGUGCAGCUGCUCUGAAAUUCCAGUCAUGAUUCUUACCCAAAUAUAGACUAUCUGAAGUGAAUGCUUUUUGAAUCAAGCCAAUUUUUAAUUGGUGAAUUUCAGUAACUGUUGAAAUUAACCAUCUUCAGGACAAUAAGAGACAAAUGACAUGGAGGAUCCAGGGCUGCCUUGUAGCAAGGACCAAAACGAGAUGGGAAUGCAUGAGUAUCAGUAAGUAUCCAUUAAAGAGCACUGUCCAGAGAAAAAGAGAAUUACUCUUUGAUUAAAGAAUAGGAGUAGCCUGAAGCCAGGUAGAGAUAUACAGUUGAGAUAUGACAAGACAGAGAUUCCAUUCCCUAUUUGAAGUUUUGAAACCCUACACAGGCUGAUUAAUUUCUCUGCAAGACAGUGCAUGCAAUGGGAGUGUCAGAGGCAGCUUACAUAGUAGGGAGCUUGUUGAGUUUGAGGAAAGAGAAAAGGAUUGUUUCCUGGCUCAUACUGUUCCCUUUUUAUUCCACGUGGGUCACUUUUAUUUUACAAAAUAAAUAAAUAAAGACCCCACCAUCCCCCCCAAAAAACAACCAACCAGAAACAAACAAACAAAAACAAUGAACAAGCCCUUCUUUGCUAUCUCAUCUUAUCCCACAUACUCAUAUCCAAGCGGUACAAGCAAUAAGGAAUUUCUUAUUUUCUAUUUUGAGGACUGUGCAGUUGUCUUUUCCAGGUGUCAAGAAAAAACAUCCUUUUCAUCUGAAUUUAACAGAUCAGUUGAGCUAGUGGAUUUUUCCCUGAUUUCCUCUGAACAUAAGACAUCCAAUUAUGUGAUACAAAUGUAUGUUCUCAACCACAGAACCCACAGAGUUUGUUGUGAAAUAGUGGCAUCACUUGAUAGUUCAAUUACAGACAGGUCUUGCUUCUUCUGUUAUCUAUAAUACACAAUUAUGCCCACAGUAACCAUGGCUAAGAUAACACAAAUCUUAACUGUGACCAAGUCUCUCAUCACAAGGUGAUCAGGAGCAAUGCCAGGUGUUUAAGCCCCCACUGCUCAGUAAUCAUGGCAAGCAUAUUUCCUGAGUAAAGAUAUGGCUACCACCAGGGACCGGAUUUAACAUAAAAUGUACACAUAAGACAGCAACAACUGUUGUUUGAGCAUCCUUCCCUUAGCACACAUCCUGAAAGGUAAAGCAGAGCUCCGUGUAUGGUAAGCUGCUAGACUGAGGGAAAGGACAGAGCUUUCCAUUUCUCAGCUAACAAACGCAGGUGACCCGAGUUUUCUAGGAUAUUGGAGACAUGGUCAUACAACUAAUCACUCACAUGAGCUUGUGGUGCUUGGAAGCCAUUGCUGCAGAGUUCAUGCUACAGCUCUGGGAAGGCAAUAAAUGUUGUAUUGGAGGGUAUUCUGGCUGCCAUAUGAGCCAUCACUUACAGUUCAUAAAGCUAUGCAGUAAUUCAAAUGAUUUGCAGGGGACAGGGGUAUAACUGCCAAUCUUCUAAAGUUGUUUGAAGCUGAUUACUAGGGAAUUCCUGCAGUUUCAAUAGCAACUGCUGUGUGAUGUCUAUAGCUGGACAUUUCAAAACAUUUUCAUUGUGAGUUGCAAGUCCCUUAGGUCUAGUAAUAAAUUUUUAUGAGGAUUAAAUUACAUAGGGAUCUAACAGUUAUGUCUGUUGUUUACUCUUGAAAUUGAGAAGUAAAAGAAAAUGAAAAUAACGUGGUUGCUCACCUUUGAUUUUAAUAAUUAUAAUAAGAGUUCCCCUGUGUAGCUUGGAUGUCUUGGAGUAUUUUGGGUCAAACUAGUACUUGUAAAGUGAAAAUGGCAGUAAAAAUAUUGCAGAUAAGAACAUCAUAGAAGUCUAUAUUAAGUGACUCUUUAAUCUCUCAAAAUAUUUUUGAUCAUCAAAUGAGGAUGCUUAAAGAAUAUGGGAGUUCAGUAAUACACCAAGCAAAUGAAAAUUAAAACUAAACAAGGAAAUUCUCUUAGAUAAUUUCUGUCACUAAGAUGUUCUUUUUUUUUUUUUUUUUUAUUGGUAGUUACCUUGUAUGUUAAGA